rnacentral:rRNA from 1 species
AACGAACGCUGGCGGCAUGCCUAACACAUGCAAGUCGAACGAGACCUUCGGGUCUAGUGGCGCACGGUUGCGUAACGCGUGGGAACCUGCCCUUAGGUUCGGAAUAACUCCCCGAAAGGGGUGCUAAUACCGGAUAAUGUCUUCGGACCAAAGAUUUAUCGCCUUUGGAUGGGCCCGCGUUGGAUUAGCUAGUUGGUAGGGUAAAAGCCUACCAAGGCGACGAUCCAUAGCUGGUCUGAGAGGAUGAUCAGCCACACUGGGACUGAGACACGGCCCAGACUCCUACGGGAGGCAGCAGUGGGGAAUAUUGGACAAUGGGCGAAAGCCUGAUCCAGCAAUGCCGCGUGAGUGAUGAAGGCCUUAGGGUUGUAAAGCUCUUUUACCCGGGAUGAUAAUGACAGUACCGGGAGAAUAAGCGCCGGCUAACUCCGUG